UAGCUAGUUGGUGAGGUAAAGGCUUACCAAGGCGACGAUCUGUAGCGGGUCUGAGAGGAUGAUCCGCCACACUGGAACUGAGACACGGUCCAGACUCCUACGGGAGGCAGCAGUGGGGAAUUUUGGACAAUGGGGGCAACCCUGAUCCAGCCAUGCCGCGUGAGUGAAGAAGGCCUUCGGGUUGUAAAGCUCUUUCGGCCGGGAAGAAAUCGCAUGGGUCAAUACCCUGUGUGGAUGACGGUACCGGAAUAAGAAGCACCGGCUAACUACGUGCCAGCAGCCGCGGUAAUACGUAGGGUGCGAGCGUUAAUCGGAAUUACUGGGCGUAAAGCGUGCGCAGGCGGUUUUGUAAGACAGGCGUGAAAUCCCCGGGCGUAACCUGGGAACUGCGUUUGUGACUGCAAGGCUAGAGUACGGCAGAGGGGGGUGGAAUUCCACGUGUAGCAGUGAAAUGCGUAGAGAUGUGGAGGAACACCAAUGGCGAAGGCAGCCUCCUGGGUCGAUACUGACGCUCAUGCACGAAAGCGUGGGUAGCAAACAGGAUUAGAUACCCUGGUAGUCCACGCCCUAAACUAUGUCAACUAGGUGUUGGGUGGGUAAAACCAUUUAGUACCGUAGCUAACGCGUGAAGUUGACCGCCUGGGGAGUACGGCCGCAAGGUUAAAACUCAAAGGAAUUGACGGGGACCCGCACAAGCGGUGGAUGAUGUGGAUUAAUUCGAUGCAACGCGAAAAACCUUACCUACCCUUGACAUGCCAGGAACUUGCCAGAGAUGGCUUGGUGCCCGAAAGGGAGCCUGGACACAGGUGCUGCAUGGCUGUCGUCAGCUCGUGUCGUGAGAUGUUGGGUUAAGUCCCGCAACGAGCGCAACCUUGUCGUUAAUUGCCAUCAUUUAGUUGGGCACUUUAACGAGACUGCCGGUGACAAACCGGAGGAAGGUGGGGAUGACGUCAAGUCCUCAUGGCCCUUAUGGGUAGGGCUUCACACGUCAUACAAUGGUCGGUACAAAGGGUUGCCAAGCCGCGAGGCGGAGCCAAUCCCAGAAAGCCGAUCGUAGUCCGGAUUGCAGGCUGCAACUCGCCUGCAUGAAGUCGGAAUCGCUAGUAAUCGUGGAUCAGCAUGUCACGGUGAAUACGUUCCCGGGUCUUGUACACACCGCCCGUCACACCAUGGGAGCGGGUUCCGCCAGAAGUAGGUAGCCUAACCGCAAGGGGGGCGCUUACCACGGCGGGGUUCGUGACUGGGGUGAAGUCGUAACAAGGUAGCCGUAGGGGAACCUGCGGCUG
rnacentral:rRNA from 1 species